UACAGAGGUCUCAAGCGUUGUUCGGAUUCAUUGGGCGUAAGGGGGCGUAGGGGGCGCGGAAAGGAGGGUGUGAAAUCCCUCGGCUCAACCGAGGAAUUGCGCCCUAAACUACCGUGCUCGAGGGAGAUAGAGGUGAGCGGAACUUAGGGUGGAGCGGUGAAAUGCGUUGAUAUCCUAAGGAACACCGGUGGCGAAAGCGGCUCACUGGAUCUCUUCUGACGCUGAGGCACGAAAGCUAGGGUAGCGAACGGG
rnacentral:rRNA from 1 species